UUGAAGCUCUUUCUGUUUUCCAAUUGAGAGAAUCAAAAACAGAAACUGAAAUUUAAUUGAAAGAGUAAUGGCGGUACCGCGUAAUGGAAUGAUGGAAGAAGAUGACAAUGAAGAGGACAAUGCUCUCUUCGAAGAAGAUGGUGUCAAUUUGGACCUCGAAUCCGACACUCCUCCGCAUCUCCGUGAACUCGCCGCCGCUGCUCAGCUCGGUGACGUUCAAGCCCUCCGUCUUGCUCUAGAUAACUUGAGUGGUAGCAUUGAUGAACCGGUUGAAGAUGGAGACACUGCUCUCCAUCUGGCUUGUCUAUAUGGCUAUCUGCCUUGUGUCCAGUUGCUUUUGGAAAGAGGGGCUAAUAUGGAGGUUGUGGAUGAAGAUGGAGCUAUACCUCUGCAUGAUGCCUGUGCUGGAGGAUUUAUUGAGAUAGUACAAUUUCUCAUUAACAGUGCUAACAAUACUGCAUGUGUGAAAAGGAUGUUGGAAACUGUUGAUGCAGAAGGUGAUAAUCCUCUUCAUCAUGCGGCAAGAGGUGAACAUGUGGAUGUUAUCAGAAUUUUGCUCGAUUCUGGUGCUUUGCCCACAAAGGCAAACUUAGCUGGGAAGAUCCCAAGUGAGUUAGCUGAUCCUAAUACUGAGGCUAGGAGAAUCUUGGAAGCUGCUGCUAAUGCUACUGCUACUGCUAAUGCAUAGGCUUGCCGGUAAACUUAACCUGCUGGUUGAAGAUAUUUUACCUUUUGGCUCUUGGGUGCUGUUUCUAGCUAUUUUUAUGGUUAGGUUACAGUGACAGGUUUUUAGAUGGAGAGAAAUCUGUCUCUGAUCUCUACGUGGAAGAAUUGAGCAUACAACUAUUCCAUACAUUUUAUUUAUGAGGAAACAUACUUAAUAUAAACGAAUCCUUAUACAAGUGACAUUACUUUUUUACGUCAGAUUUACUGUCUGUUUGACAAUACUCGUACAAAAACCAGUUGUAAUAUUGGUAUUUGGCUUUGCAUUCCAUAAACCUCUUCAGCUUCCAAAAAAUUUUUGUGGUUGUUUGGACAGGGAAUCUAUUGAUUCCAUGGAGAUGAAAAUGAAUGCAAGCAAAUGGUGUAGUCGUAAAGCUAAGGUUUUCAGGGUUUGGAGACAAAGAAAGAAGAAGUUUGAAGUAGUAAACGUGAAGUUUAUGCGUAGUUUCGGUGGGGCGACAAGAAAGGAGAAGUGGCGGAAUGCUUUGUAACUUAGUCAUAAAAACGUUUGUCAUUGAUUGAGUAAUGUAACUUAAUUUCUAUGGAUAAGUUAACCAAAAACAUCUGGACAUGUAGUAACCUGAGAGAAAUGAGGAAACUUACAGCCUAAACUAAAAGGCUGGAAAAAUGUCAUUAACACAAAUCUUGAAUGAGAAACAAUGUAGGUAAAUUCUCAAGCACCUAA